GUUUGAUCCUGGCUCAGAUUGAACGCUGGCGGCAUGCCUUACACAUGCAAGUCGAACGGCAGCACGGGGGCAACCCUGGUGGCGAGUGGCGAACGGGUGAGUAACACAUCGGAACGUAUCCCGUAGAGGGGGAUAGCCCGGCGAAAGCCGGAUUAAUACCGCAUAUGCUCUACGGAGGAAAGUGGGGGACCUGCAAGGGCCUCACGCUAUGGGAGCGGCCGAUGGCCGAUUAGCUAGUUGGUGGGGUAAAGGCCUACCAAGGCGACGAUCGGUAGCUGGUCUGAGAGGGUGAUCAGCCACACUGGGACUGAGACACGGCCCAGACUCCUACGGGAGGCAGCAGUGGGGAAUAUUGCACAAUGGGCGAAAGCCUGAUGCAGCGACGCCGCGUGAGGGAUGACGGCCUUCGGGUUGUAAACCUCUUUCAACUCCGACGAAGCGAAAGUGACGGUAGGGGUAGAAGAAGCACCGGCCAACUACGUGCCAGCAGCCGCGGUAA
rnacentral:rRNA from 1 species